CUCUCUCUCUCUCCAUCCCGUGUAUAAAACGGGGAUGAUCCAAGAGGCCGCCGAUCCCUCCCUCGAAUCCUUCUCUCGCUCCCGUGAAAUCACCGCCCAGCGCUGAUCUCUCCAUUCAAAUACAUCCUCUAAAUCGCCACACUUGGCCUUCGGAUCUGGAAACUGUAGAAAGAACGGGACUUUUAGGCGUCUUUCUGGGAGUAAUCGACGGUCUUUGUGGCUUGCUUCUGGAAAGAAAUCAGGUGACGCCUUUGUUUGAUCUCCUAGUCGGGGAGGAAAACUGUGGGAGAGUUGGCUUGAAGUGAUACAAUGGGUAGUCGGUGGAGACGUCUUCAAUUCUGAUAGAAUUUGAGGCGUUUAAGGAUUCUGAUUCGCUGUGUGCAGCUGCAUUGAGUGGAAGAAUCAGUUUAAAAGAUCUUGAAGGUUUGUGGAGCAGAUGCUAAGGGAUCGAAUCUAAGUAUUCUCUUUCCAUUAAUAAGAGAGAGAGAGAGAGAGAGAGAGCUCUUUGGAUCCAAGGGAUGUGCCGGUUAGAAAGGACAACAGGAUCUCACUCCUCGGGGGAGAGAUAGAUUGAUCUGAAGCCCGGGGUAAGCGAAUCGAGCACGGACAAGCUGCAGAGCACGAUAGUGUCGAGACCGAAGAUGAAGCUUUGGGUGAUCCGGAUGACUGCGGUGGUGUUAUUGUGGACGUGCGUUCUCCACCUGAUGGCAUUAGGGGAGAUAUGGAGGCCGAGGGUCUUGAAAGGAUGGCCCUCUUGCUUCACCCCAUCGGAGUCGCCGCUUCUGGUGAAACAAGCCUCUACAGCCGUCGAGAAAAUCGUUCUGCCACCCAAAAGAAUCUACAAAAAUAAUGGGUACCUGAUGGUUUCAUGCAAUGGUGGGCUUAAUCAAAUGCGAUCAGCGAUCUGUGACAUGGUUGCUAUUGCGAGAUAUUUGAAUGUGACACUCAUAGUACCAGAGUUGGACAAGACCUCUUUUUGGAAUGACCCUAGUGAAUUCCAGGACAUAUUCGACCUCGAUCAUUUUAUCACUUCUUUGAGAGAUGAGGUCCGGAUAUUGAAAGAAUUGCCACCUAGGUUAAAAACAAGGGUUGAGCUGGGAAUGUUUUAUUCGAUGCCACCUGUUAGUUGGUCUGAUAUCGCUUAUUACCAAAAUCAGGUUCUUCCUUUGAUACGGAAGCACAAGGUCGUUCAUUUGAAUAAAACAGAUGCUCGGCUAGCUAACAAUGGUCUACCAUUAGAGAUACAAAAGUUACGCUGCAGAGUAAAUUAUGCUUUUCUUAGAUUCACUCCUCAAAUUGAAGAAUUGGGCAGAAGAAUAAUUAAAAUUCUGCAACAGAAUGGCCUUUUUCUUGUUCUCCAUUUACGAUAUGAAAUGGACAUGUUGGCCUUCUCUGGAUGUACUCACGAUUGCACUGAUGAAGAAGCAGAUGAAUUGACAAGAAUGAGAUAUGCUUAUCCCUGGUGGAAAGAAAAAGUCAUCAACUCUGACAAAAAAAGAAAAGAUGGUCUCUGUCCUUUAACACCAGAAGAAACCACUUUGGUAUUGAGGGCACUGGAUAUUGAUCGCAAUGUUCAAAUAUAUAUCGCAGCUGGAGAGAUAUAUGGUGGAGACAGGAGAAUGGCUGCUCUUUUUGCUGCUUAUCCAAAAGUGGUAAAAAAGGAAACUUUACUGGGACCUUCUGAUCUUAGAUACUUCCAGAAUCACUCAUCACAAAUGGCAGCAUUGGAUUACUUGGUUUCGUUAGAGAGUGAUAUCUUCAUUCCUACAUAUGAUGGUAACAUGGCUAAAGUCGUUGAAGGUCAUCGCAGGUACUUGGGCUUCAGGAAGACAAUCUUAUUGGACAGAAGGCUCCUGGUUGAUCUGAUAGAUGAGUACAACAAUGGUACUUUAAGUUGGGAUGAAUUCUCUUUAUCAGUUAAGGCAACUCAUGCUGAUCGAAUGGGAAGCCCCACCAGGAGAGUGGUGAUUCCUGACAGGCCCAAGGAAGAAGACUAUUUCUAUGCAAACCCCCAAGAGUGUCUCCCACAGCCUGAUAAACCAUCGACUUCAUGAAUUCAUUGAGAUGACACCAUUCCUGUAUAGCUGUUCUUUCCAAGAAUGGCAUUGAUUUGAAACCUUUAUGAAGGUAACCAUUGGAUCAACUGAUGAUAAUGCUGGAUGGUUUCCUUCCCAGGAGGAUACAAACCAAAGAGGUUAGCAAGUUGCGUGUCUUUUCUGAUGCAGCUGACACUUAAGUCAGUGGUCAAUGAUGGAGCAAAAGGGUGGUGAAUUGGGAGAAGAAAUGGACUUCAAGAACAGAACAAUGUUGGAAGAAGAGUCUUCUGGUUGGUGAUCUAAACAGUCAAUUAUGUGGUUUUAGAAGAAGUUGGAGUUUAGGCUACUCUAAACAGAGGUUCUAGCAUACAAUUUUAGCUUGAAACAUAAGAACACUGAGUCACCUGCUCUCCGAAGAGGUUUCUUAUCUUUUGGGGAAUCAGAACCUUGGUACGGCUGCCAAUGUGAUGAUAGUAUGAUGAAAACAGGUGCUCUCGAUUGCUAAAUGCCACCUAUAUGUGUUCUUGAAACAACCAUAUAUGACAGGCAUGUGAAAAAUCAUUGACUGAGGUUUUUAACUCUAAGUUUGAACUAGCAAACUCUUCAAAGCUUGCCCAGAAGAAAUGAUAUUUAUUUCAUGGAAGCUAAAGCUUACAUCAGAAGUCCAUCUCUUGCUUUUCUUGUGCCAACAGAGGCCUGAAAUUUAUCUCAAUACAUGUGAUCAUUUGUUUCUUCUAUGUACCCAUUACAGGCUCUCUUUAAACAAAAGAGACAAAGAUGCUUCUGUCAGUGCAACGUGCAUCAGCAGUACAUUUUAUCUCUGUAGUCGGUGACUCCGUGAUGUUCCAGCAAUGAAUGAUUUGUUGUCAAUCAAAA